AGGUUCUGCUUCCCCACCUUCCUCCCCUAGAGUUUCAUAUCCCUGGCUGAGAGGAUUAUAGCUCUCUAGGAAAGCACUUCAGUGGUCUGGCAUUUUUGGUCCUUCUUCCCUGCAAAGCCUGCUUGCUGCUCUUCCGUAAGGGGCUGGGGGGAGGAGGGUAAACUUCUGCAAUUAGCUGAUCCUGCACUGAUGAGCUUGGUAACAUUUUGUUCUCAUCUUGGGCAUGGGGUGCCUUUACAGAACUGGUCCAUAAUCAUCACUUGACAUCCCUCAAUACUAGGGAGCAGCCAGCCAGCUGCAGGCUGGACCCUGGUGUGCUGCCAAUCUGGUCUGCAAGGUCAGCAUUGUCUGAAUGGGUUCAAUACAUAGUUGUAGAGGAAAAACAAAUAAGUGCCUUAAAAGCAAUUGUGUCAGUCUGUGUGGGAUUUCCCUCUCUGAAGUAUAAAUGCCAGCAAAAUUCCCGUCUGUGUGUAAAUUUGAGCUAGUCACUCCAAGCUCUCUUUGUAGUCCUAGAGGAGAAAAUGGCACUUCAGUGGUGUGAUUGCUGACCUGGGUUCCCCCAGGCUUCCCACUGACUGUUUUGGCAGAUAGCUGGUCAGCAGAAAGGCAUCGGUCUCUCAGGGAGCUCAGGUGUUGAUAUCUCCAGCCAGGACCUGGGUUAUUGCUCACCUUUGUAGUUCUGGUUAAUUCGUCCUCACCUCUCCACCAGCCCUGCUUCAGCAGUAGCUUUGCAGUAGAACUGGAAAUUACAGGUGUACAUAGCCAUGGGGUGGCUUACCUCCAGCAGCAAGAAAAAUGCUCAGCUCAACAUAAGCACAUGGGGGAUCUAAUCCCUGCAGCAGAACAAGGCUACAAGAGGCUUGUUUAGAAGACUCCUGCAGAAGAUAAAAAGUUUUCAGUACAAAUAUUCCUGCUUUUCUCCCAUUGUCUUCCUUCUCCAACUGAUUCUCAUUAAGAAAAAACAUAGAUACGUAUAUACUCCUGAAUCAUCUACCUGUCCCAGAUUUCUUGGAUGUAAAUGGAACAUAAUGAACAGAACUUGCUUCAAAAAAGUUACCGUUUUUUAAAGAGUGUGAGAAAGGAAAUGUCAAGUCUAGGUUUACAUAGGAAUUCUUCUGCAAAGCUGUGAUUAAUACAAACAUUUCCUGAGUCAUUCUCUAAUGCCUCCUCUUUUUCUAAGUACUGUAAUCUAAAUGAGAAAGCAAACAAAUAGAACAAGGCCAAUUGUUGCAACUCCCAGAAAUUCACAAUGGAGAGUUAAACCCUAGUGGUGGGGUUGAAGGGAGGUAAUUAAAACAGUUUGGAAAUCUUAAUAGAUUGACAGAAAAGCCCCCAUUUUUCUGUCUAUAGAUAAUUUCAAUUGCCAAAGUACUUGCAGAUGGCUUUCAGCCUAGAUAUUUUCAGCUGGGAGGAUCUUCAGCAGCACAAUGAGCUCUGUGAAUGCUGACCCUUAGUAAGUAUCUAAACUAAUCUUCAUUUAAAAUAUCUGGGGAAUCAGGAAACAACUGACUCUUACCCGAGCUUUCCUCAGAUGCGUUUUGCAAAAGGCUCCCAGUAGACAGAGUAGAGCUGCUCACAAAGACGUCAGUAAUCUUUCCAACCUCAUCUGUUCUUGUACAGACUUGUAUUAAAAAUGAAAGAGCCCUGGUGAAAUUAAUGCAAAAUACAGUUGGGAAGAUAAUGAAAACUCUUUUCUGACAGACUUUAGACUGCUGCAAGCAUCCCUCACUUGCCUAUUCCAAAAAGGGUAUAACAGUACUUUUUAGUGUUUUGUUAUAUUUGAAGGAGAAACACACACAUUUUCUACUUUUUUUUUUUUUUCCCUCCAUUUUUUAGUAACCUAAAAUGCAAAUUGGAUGAGGACAACAUAUAAUGUCCUCGCUUAUGAUUUUUUUUUUCUUCUGCAGAAAAGAUGUGUUCCGUAUUUUAAUAGCACCAUCUGUCACAGUAGCAAGUGCCAAGCUGCAAUAUUGAUCUUGUCACUUUGGGGAAUAGUAUGAUAUUUAGGAUUAUAAAUAACAUUUUUCUUUGCUCUGUUCAUGUGUUUAGUUUUUAUGUAGAACCCAAACUCAAGAAACUACUCUUAUCACCUAAUAAGUACUUUCCUAGAAUCCAUAACAGAGGUCUCAUUAGGACCUGAAGAGCAGUAUUUGUGUUGUUAGCUGUCGUGCCUUAGUAAUGUGAAUAAUUUAAUCGGUCUAUGCAAUUUAUGUAGUGACAACUAUAGCCACAACUACACAAAUUUAAUAGCUUCUAGUGCCCAUAAGUCAUCACUGGGCACUAGUUUUCUCUCUUUAAAAAAGAGGUGAUUAUGCUGAGAUUUUAAAUGAAGAGCACUCAAACUGAAGUUACAAAGAAAGCAAGUGCUGCAUUUCUUGUUAUUUUCCAUGUUAAACAGAAGCUCCCUGGGUGUUUAAAGGCUCUGUCCCUUUUGUAUAAACUGGAUAUUGUGUUAAGUCUUUAUUUAGGCUGCCUUGGAAAAGAGAAGAUGCAGUGUGUGACUCAUUUGUGUUCCAGGCUCUCUAGAGAGACCAGAGUGUUAAGAUCAGGUAGAAGUUAUCGUGAACCUGGAAAGGUUUCAGUGUGUUGCACUGCUAUAUUCAGAGACUUCUGCCAGCACAUUGCUGCUGAGGAGGAGACAGUUAUCCCAAUAACGUAAAAAAAAUUGUGUCUGUCUUUCCAUUUGCGUUUCUUCACCUAGAUGUAUUUUUCAGCACAAUGGGCAAAAACGAUGCUCUUAGGAGGUUGAUGGCAAAGCUGCUGGACAGGUGAAAGAAGUAAUGAAAUUUUUUAAGUGACAAUGAUAUUUUACAAGAUUUUCAGGGUUGAAUACUUCUCUGUCGGACGUGAUUGGCAUUUUAGUGACAUGGCAGCAUAUUAUUUUUUUUUCUUCUUCUACUCCACAGUCUCCUUUGGUUUGGAUAUUACUUAAAUUUUAUGCCUGUUAAAGUAAGUUUUUGCCUGGGAUUUGUAGCGUUAAAGUGUUAGAAUAGAAAUACUUUAAUACUGUUUCUUCUGUUAAGAGUUCUGCUGAGCUCUGUAUAUUUAUCCUCUGCAUGUAAUUUCACUCACAACUUCAAGGCAGCACAUGGAGCUCAUAAGUACUGCAUUUUACAGAUUUUCAGCAGUUGUCAUUAAACGUCUCUCUUGAAAAAAAAUAAAGCUCUUACACAAAACAUCAAAA